rnacentral:rRNA from 1 species
CCUACGGGAGGCUGCAGUGGGGAAUAUUGGACAAUGGGCGAAAGCCUGAUCCAGCCAUGCCGCGUGUGUGAAGAAGGCCUUCGGGUUGUAAAGCACUUUCAGUGGGGAAGAAAGCCUUGGGGCUAAUACCCUCGAGGAAGGACAUCACCCACAGAAGAAGCACCGGCUAACUCCGUGCCAGCAGCCGCGGUAAUACGGAGGGUGCGAGUGUUAAUCGGAAUUACUGGGCGUAAAGCGCGCGUAGGCGGUCUGAUAAGCCGGUUGUGAAAGCCCCGGGCUCAACCUGGGAACGGCAUCCGGAACUGUCAGGCUAGAGUGCAGGAGAGGAAGGUAGAAUUCCCGGUGUAGCGGUGAAAUGCGUAGAGAUCGGGAGGAAUACCAGUGGCGAAGGCGGCCUUCUGGACUGACACUGACGCUGAGGUGCGAAAGCGUGGGUAGCAAACAGGAUUAGAUACCCUAGUAGUC